ensembl:lncRNA
CAAAAGGAGGCCUCCGCAAACCAGACUGUGCCGGACACUCAGUGCACAGAGCUGCUUGGGAAACUGCAGCAGGCAGCGCUGACUCUGCCCAGCUAUCCAGGCCCAGAAAGAGAGGUGACCCCACUCCUCCCCGAUCUCACAAAAAAAUGCAUAUACAGUGGGGAGGACGUUGGACUCUACCAUCGGGAGGAGCCAGACGGACAGACACUGCAGGAGGACCAGGCCAUGUCCCCCUCUUCCUGUUUGGUCUGUGGGCUGCUGUUGCUCCUGUGUCCCACUGACGCCAGGUGGCAGGUGCAGGUCCAUCCAGCAAUGAAUGGUCUUCACUGUCGAGUUUCAGUGGUAUCACUCUGGAUGGCUUCCCAAUCUGUCUCGGACGCCUCCCUCUCCACCUCAGCCUGAUGCGCUGUGAAGACGGAAUUGUCUUCCCCCUGCCCAGUUCUGGAAUCCAGAAGUUAAGGAAUCGAGGUGUCUACAGAGCCACAUUCCCUAUCAAGGCACAAGAAGGAGAAUCCAUUCCUUGCCUCGCUCCUUCCUGGUGGCUGCCCUGGGAACGACUCCCGCUGGUCUCUGCCUGUCUUCACAUGAC